rfam:Populus trichocarpa isolate Nisqually-1 chromosome 7, whole genome shotgun sequence.
UAGUCUGCAUGGGUCAAAUCAUUUUCUAGUUGUGUUAGAUCCUCACUUGAAUGCGCAGAAUCGUCAGUUUUUAUAAGCCUUAUUGCAUCACAAUCAUAUAUGCCACUCUUCUGAUAGACA